GUAUUGAUUGACUAUGACCGCGAGUAAUAGAAAUAUAAAAAACGGUCAACGAAUCCCAAGAGCCAAGAGGCGUUGAGCCAACUUUUGGGACAAGGUUUGUGACGGAAGCAGUGACAGAAUUGAUCAUACGUGUCAUUUUUUAUUUUGCAGAUAGACACUUCCCAUGUCUACGGCGGCGGUCAGCUAGGAAAAUAGUUCGACGAUAACACCGUUUUAUUAUGCAGAUAUAAGAUCCCACGUGACAAAAAAAUUCUCCCCUGU
rnacentral:misc_RNA from 1 species